rnacentral:rRNA from 3 species
UACAGAGGGUGCGAGCGUUAAUCGGAAUUACUGGGCGUAAAGCGAGUGUAGGUGGCUCAUUAAGUCACAUGUGAAAUCCCCGGGCUUAACCUGGGAACUGCAUGUGAUACUGGUGGUGCUAGAAUAUGUGAGAGGGAAGUAGAAUUCCAGGUGUAGCGGUGAAAUGCGUAGAGAUCUGGAGGAAUACCGAUGGCGAAGGCAGCUUCCUGGCAUAAUAUUGACACUGAGAUUCGAAAGCGUGGGUAGCAAA